GAGCUUGCUCCUCUGAUUUAGCGGCGGACGGGUGAGUAACACGUGGGUAACCUGCCUGUAAGACGGGGAUAACUUCGGGAAACCGAAGCUAAUACCGGAUAAUAAAGAGAAACUCCUGUUUCUUUUUUGAAAGUCGGUUUCGGCUGACGCUUACAGAUGGGCCCGCGGCGCAUUAGCUAGUUGGUGAGGUAACGGCUCACCAAGGCCACGAUGCGUAGCCGACCUGAGAGGGUGAUCGGCCACACUGGGACUGAGACACGGCCCAGACUCCUACGGGAGGCAGCAGUAGGGAAUCUUCGGCAAUGGACGAAAGUCUGACCGAGCAACGCCGCGUGAGCGAUGAAGGCCUUCGGGUCGUAAAGCUCUGUUGUCAGAGAAGAACAAGUACCGGAGUAACUGCCGGUACCUUGACGGUACCUGACCAGAAAGCCACGGCUAACUACGUGCCAGCAGCCGCGGUAAUACGUAGGUGGCAAGCGUUAUCCGGAAUUAUUGGGCGUAAAGCGCGCGCAGGCGGUUCCUUAAGUCUGAUGUGAAAGCCCACGGCUCAACCGUGGAGGGUCAUUGGAAACUGGGGAACUUGAGUGCAGGAGAGAAAAGUGGAAUUCCACGUGUAGCGGUGAAAUGCGUAGAGAUGUGGAGGAACACCA
rnacentral:rRNA from 1 species